CCUACGGGGGGCUGCAGUAGGGAAUCUUCCACAAUGGGCGAAAGCCUGAUGGAGCAACGCCGCGUGGGUGAAGAAGGUCUUCGGAUCGUAAAACCCUGUUGUUAGAGAAGAAAGUGCGUGAGAGUAACUGUUCACGUUUCGACGGUAUCUAACCAGAAAGCCACGGCUAACUACGUGCCAGCAGCCGCGGUAAUACGUAGGUGGCAAGCGUUAUCCGGAUUUAUUGGGCGUAAAGGGAACGCAGGCGGUCUUUUAAGUCUGAUGUGAAAGCCUUAGGCUUAACCGGCGUAGUGCAUUGGAAACUGGGAGACGUGAGUGCAGAAGAGGAGAGUGGAACUCCAGGUGUAGCGGUGAAAUGCGUAGAUAUAUGGAAGAACACCAGUGGCGAAAGCGGCUCUCUGGUCUGUAACUGACGCUGAGGUUCGAAAGCGUGGGUAGCAAACAGGAUUAGAUACCCCUGUAGUC
rnacentral:rRNA from 1 species